GCUGCAAGGCAUAUUUUAAUGUCUGCCACGGCUCAUUUGGUAGCACUGUCCUGCCUGGGUCACAGGGUUCGCUGUUCAAAUCAUAAUUUAGAAUUUGAGCUCAAAAAUCAAGGCUAAUAUUCCAUUGCAGCACCAAAGAAGUGCUGCAGUGUCAGACGUGAGGCAUUUGGAUGAGAUGUUAAUUUGAGGCACUUACUGCUUUCUCAGGUCACAGAGGAGAUCUGCCUUAAGUUCCCUCUGCAUUGCUCAGUUUAAUUGUUCCGGGAGCUUUACAGAUUGCCAUCCAGAAUUUGAAAUGCCAUGUCACCCAGGACAAUGUCUGAUAACCUGCAUGUAUUGGACAUAUAAUUUUCAAUAUGCUGGAAGGAGACAUUGCAGGAUCUGGUGUUGAGGAACAAUGUCAACCAAAUGCUGAUGUGAGAACACUAGGUGAAUAUCCAAAAUUUACAAGGCUCAAGUCAGGAGUGUGAUGGAAUGCUACUCACUUGCCUGGAUGAGUAUAGUUCCAGCAACACUGAAGCAGCUCAUCACCAUCCAGGAGAAGACAGUCUGCACAAUUAGCAUCCCACCCGUCAACUUCAACAAUCAAUACCUUCACCAUCGAUGCAUAAUGGUGCCAGUCUAUCAAGGCUCCUUCAUAAGGACACUAUAAACUGCUUAAAUCUAGAAAGACAAUGACAGCAGAUGCUUGGGAAUUCCACCACUUCCAGGUUCUCAUAAUCAGUGAAUGAAUGAUCACAUCAACCUGGACCCAAUAUACCGGCCACUGCAGCAGACAGCAACUGACAACUGGAAGCGGCAGAGACAAGCCACUAUAAAUGCCGGAGGAAACAUCACGGAAGCGCUUCACAGGAGGCUCCCAAGCACUGAGGAUGUCACCUAGACAGGGGACGAAACAUUCGCAACAAAAACUCCCAACUCGGCAGACAGAACCACAACAACAGGGCAGUGGACAUUCUGAAAUCCGUACAAAGGCCUUUGAUAAGGGUCCACAUGGUAGGCUGCUCUGAAAGGUUAAAUACGUGGAAGCCGGGGGAGCUGGCAAAUUGGGUGCACAAUUGGCUUGAAUGUAGGAAGCAGAGGUGAAUAGUGGAAGGAUGUUUGUCGGACUGGAAGCCUGUAACUAGUGGAGUGCCUCAGGGGUUGCUGCAGCCUGUUUCUGUUUGUUAUCUAUAUCAAUGAGGUGUAUGAAAAUGGCAUGAUUAGUAUGUUUGCAGAUGGCUCUAACACAGGAGGUAUCGUGAACAGUGAGGAAGGUUAUCAGAAAUUGCAGCAUAGAGUCAUAGAGAUGUACAGCAUGGAAACAGAGCCUUCGGUCCAACCCAUCCAUGCCGACCAGAUAUCCCAGCCCAAUCUAAUCCCACCUGCCAGCACCCGGCCCACAUCCCUCCAAACCCUUCCUAUUCAUACACCCAUCCAGAUGCUUUCAAAUGUUGCAAUUGUACCAGCCUCCACCACUUCCUCUGGCAGCUCAUUCCAUACACGUGCCACCCACUGUAUGAAAAGGUUGCCCCUUGGGUCUCUUUAAUAUCUUUUCCCCCCACACCUAAAUCUAUGCCCUCUAGUUCUGGAUUCCCCCAGCCCAGGGAAGAGACUUUGUCUAUAUAUCCUAUCCAUGCCCCUCUAUAAACCUCCAUAAAGGUCACCCCUCAGCCUCCGACACUCCAGGGAAAACAGCCCCAGCCUAUUCAACCUCUUUCGAUAACUCAAAACCCCCCAACCCUGGCAACAUCCUUGUAAAUCUUUUCUGAACCCUUUCAAGUUUUACAACAUCCAUCCGAUAGGAAGGAGACCGGAAAUGCACGCAAUAUUCCAAAAGUGGCCUAACCAAUGCCCUGUACAGCCAGACCUUAUCAGCUGGGGAAGUGGGCUGAGAAAGGACAAAUGGAGUUUAAUAUAGAUAAGUGUGAAGUCUUGCUAUUUGGAAAGUCAAAUCAAGGUAGGAGUUUCAUGGUGAAUGGUAGGGCCUUAAGGGACCUUGUAGUUCAAGUGCACGUUUCUCUGAAAGUAGAGUCACAGAUAGACAGGGCAGUAAUGGUGGCUUUUGGCACACUGGCCUUCUUCAAUCAGAGCAUUGAGUAUAGACGUUAGGAAGUUAUGUUGCAGUUGUGCAGGAUGUUAUUGAAGCCACACUGGUGUAUUAAGUUUGGUUUUGGUCACUUUGUUAUUGGAAAGAUGUUAUUAAACUAGGAAGAGUGCAGAAGAAAUUUACAAGCAUUUUUUUUUUAAGAAUAGAUUAGAUUAGAUUAGAUUAGAUUACUUAAUAUGGAAACAGGCCCUUCGGCCCAAAACGUCCACACCAACUCACCGAAGCGCAACCCACCCGGAACCAUUCCCCUACAUUUACCCCUUCACCUAACACUAUGGGCAAUUUAGCAAGGCCACUUCACCAUUUUUUGGAUUGUGGGAGGAAACUGGAGCACCCAGAAGAAACCCACACAGACACGGGGAGAAUGUGCAAACUCCAUACAGAGUCGCCUGAGGCGGGAAUUGAACCCGGGUCUCUGGCGCGGUGAGGCAGCAGUGCUAACCACUGUGCCCCAAUGCUGCCAGGACUGAAGAGUCAGACUUAUAGGGCAAGUUGGACAAGCAAGGAGUAUUUUUCUUUAGAGUAUAGGAGACUGACAGGGAAUCUUAUCGAACUGUAUAAGAUCAUGAGAGGCAUGGAUAGGAUGAAUAUACUCAAUACUUUUCUCAGGGUUGGGGAAUCAAGGACUCGAAGGCAUCAGGUUAAGGUUAGAGGGGAAAGAUAAAAGGGAACCUGAGGGGCAACCUUUUUUUUAAACACAGUAGUACACAUAUGGAAUGAGCUGCCAGUGGAAAUGGUCGAGAUGGGUACAUUAACAACAUUUAAAAGGCAUUUGGACAAAUACAUGGAUAGGAAAAGUUUAGAAGGAUAUGGGCCAAGUUCAGGAAAAUGGGGUUAGCGUGGAAGGACAUUUUGGUCAGCAUGGCCCAGUUUGGACCGAAGGGUCUGUCUCCAUGUUCUCUCUCUGUGACUGGCAGCAUGGGUUUAUGCAAUGCGGAAAUUUCUUCCUAAAAUGUCAUAUUCUAGCAGGUGUCUAAUUUGCACUUGCAAUGCAAACACCGAAAUGUGAAGUCAAUCGAAUCCUAUUUUACAGUUCCAUUCCUGGUUUGUCUUAAUGGGGCUGGAAGUUUGGAAAUGUUUGUUUUCAUCACUGUUGCCUCACAGAUGUGGCAUCAGAGUCAAAGCGCCAAAAUCUGGUUCAUUUCAGCAACUUGAGAAUGCUCAUUUGUUGCCCCAGAGCCUGCACAGUCCAUGAAAUCAGGGCUUAGACACUAUGUCACCAAUAAACAAACGAAACAUGAAGUUUUGUUAAAUCUAUGUCCCACCUUGUCCUUUUGCAUAUCAUUCCUCUUUUUCCCUUUUAUUAAAAAAGUAGUAUCACAGGGAGGUCGUUCUGACUCCAUUCACCUGUAGCUCUUGAUAAGGAUUAAGCCAGGUGCAGGAAGAGCAAUGAUCAGCUGAUCCUCUCUAGCUAUACAGAAAUCAUUAAGUUGAACUGGAUGGAUUAAAUGACCUUUUCACAGGCAUACUUUUUUCUGGCUUUGUUCAAUUACACUUCAGAUUGUAAAGCACUGGACACUCAAAUCUCUGGGACAAAAUCAAAAUUCUACAAUUUGCAUGUCAACAGAUGAUGUCCAUAACCUGGAGUCUGUAGUUAAUAGCUACUUACCAAAACCUGAAUGCCUUCUUUUUCAACAGGAGCCUUGUCAUAGGUGGCUUCACAAACUCGAACCAGUGUGGUAACACCAAACUUCUUGAGUUCCUGAGAAGGCACAACAAUAGUUUGCAUUAAAAAAAUUCUUUCAGAAGACUUUUUUUUCCUGUUUCUGCUUUCCCUGAUUGGUUGAUUGGUUUGAAUGGUACUUUUGAUUUGUCAGGGAGAUGGUCAGCUAUGGUGAAUGAAAUAAAGGCAAUGUCACAAUGGAGGGUGGUCAGUUUUAUUAUUGUGGAAUGCUUUUUUAUGGGCUCCCGUACAACACUGGGAAUCGACAGGCCGGGGUUUGUGGUUUGCAGCUGGCAGACUGAGCAACUGCUGGAUAUCAGUCCAUAGCUGUAACUUUGGUAUGGUUUCUGACCCCAUGAGCAUUCAAAUUCUUAACGUCUGCUUUGGAAGCAGGAAAUACUACCAGUAACUAAAGAUUUGCACAUUUUUGGGGUUUUGGGCACCUUUGAAAAAAAAAAUCACAUGGUUUACUUUUAAAUCGCUUUGCAUUCUUUCU